AGGGUAAUAGCUUAGUGGUAGGGCAUGUGCUUAGCAUGCACAAGGUCCUGGGUUCACUUCCCAGUACCUCCA
rnacentral:tRNA from 1 species